CCUACGGGCGGCUGCAGUGAGGAAUAUUGGUCAAUGGGCGAGAGCCUGAACCAGCCAAGUCGCGUGAGGGAGUACUGCCCUAUGGGUUGUAAACUUCUUUUGUCGGGGAGCAAAAGCCGGACCUGUCCGGUGGCGAGAGUACCCUAAGAAAAAGCAUCGGCAAACCUCGUGACAGCAGCCGCGGUAAUACGGAGGAUUCGAGCGUUAUCCGGAUUUUUUGGGUUUAAAGGGUGCGCUGGCGGGUGUUUUAGUCAGCGGUAAAAGCGUGGGGCUCAACCCCAUCCAGCCGUUGAAACUGGGGGUCUAGAGAGUGCGAGAGGUAUGCGGAAUGCGUGGUGUAGCGGUGAAAUGCAUAGAUAUCACGCAGAACCCCGAUUGCGAAGGCAGCAUACCGGUGCACAACUGACGCUGAGGCACGAAAGCGUGGGUAUCGAACAGGAUUAGAUACCCCUGUAGUC
rnacentral:rRNA from 1 species